rnacentral:lncRNA from 1 species
CCCAUGGUCUGCAUUCUGUUUCUCCCUCGACUGUCAACAGCCCUUCCCCAUUGGUCCCUCAUUCAUUCUAUUACUCCCGCUGGUUCUCGUUCCGUUCCAUCCUUGCCUGACUCCGGUUCUAUGCGCACCACCACGCCAGCCCCGGUCCGUUGGUGUCCGUCGGGACCUCCCGCAGGCCGAGCAGAAGCCCCCGUCAUGGCGCGGCACCGGCGCCCGGGCCGCAGCCCCCCAAAGCCCGCAGCUCCCCCCUCCAGCUCCCUCUGGAGCCUGGCGCUGCUCCUGGCCCUCCUCGGGGUCGCUGCCACUGCUACCACCUGGGGCUUUGCGGGCUACCGAGAGGCUCAGACGAGGGCACAGCGGGAGGCAGUGCUGAAGUCUCUGGGGACCGAAGGCCAAUUCCUGUUCGCCUCUCUGGACACUGACAGGGACUUGUCCAUCAGCCCCGAGGAGUUCAGACCCAUUGCUGAGAAACUAAGGGAAAUCAACAGAGAUUAGAGGUGGAUGGAUGAACAUGAGGGAAAAGGAAACAUUGUCACAUCCCCUUAACGUAAAGCUUAAUUUUCCCAUCUGAGGAAUAUCCCAUCUGCUCCCUGAGGACAAAUGAGAGGACUUAUGAGAUCAUCUCUGGACCUAAAUGCUGGAAAUCAUUAUUAAUGGUCACUAUCACUGAGGAAGAAGAGUAAUCAUGUUGGAAGAAUCAAGGCAAGCUAAUGACUAGUCUUCUCAGAUCCUCAAAGCUCCUUUUGUCUUAGGUUUUAUUAUGAUCUCAGCUGCUCUCACAAAAUGGAAUUUCAGAUACUUUUAUGGUUGCAGUUUACAAAUGUGUAAAUAAUAAAAGCUUUGGAAGUGAGAUAAGUAUAAAUAGGACCUCAUCUGUAUUCUUUCCCACAGUCCUGGCAUGGGAACAACAUAAAGGAAAAUGUAGAAUCCUAGAGCAAGAAAGGGACUUCUUAGAGUUUCAUAUGGUCUUGAUCUCACAUUUCACAGUUGAGGAAAUUGAG